rnacentral:misc_RNA from 1 species
AAGUCGUAACAAGGUUUCCGUAGGUGAACCUGCGGAAGGAUCAUUAGAAAAUGCCGAAAGGCUUACUCUAUAUACACACACAUCGUGCACUGGCCCUUUGGGCUAUUAUAAACUAUUUGGUAAUGAAUGUAAUCUACUUAAUGUAAAUACAACUUUCAACAACGGAUCUCUUGGCUCUC